UACGUAGGGUGCGAGCGUUAAUCGGAAUUACUGGGCGUAAAGCGUGCGGAGGCGGUUCUAUAAGACAGAUGUGAAAUCCCCGGGCUCAACCUGGGAAUGGCAUUUGUGACUGUAGAGCUAGAGUACGGUAGAGGGGGAUGGAAUUCCGCGUGUAGCAGUGAAAUGCGUAGAGAUGUGGAGGAAUACCGAUGGCGAAGGCAGCCCCCUGGGAUAACACUGACGCUCAUGUACGAAAGCGUGGGUAGCAAACAGG
rnacentral:rRNA from 1 species